UAAAAUUAUAAUCAAGUAAAAAUAAAAACAUGGGCCAACAUGGAGGCGUAUGAACACGGAGGGGGUGAGGUUAUGUGAUUUCGCUUCAAUUUUGCUCUUAUCACCAAGAACUGAGCUUUCAUCGAAUACUCAAGAACAUGAUUCCUCCCUUCGUACCGGCGUCGAGGUUGAAAUAUACCAUUCACGGCAUUGCGUAUUGACGUUCGACGACGAAGGAUGAAGAUGAGGUUCUUUUCGCGCGUGGAAAGGAUUCGAAACGAAGCCGGAAAACUCACUAGUAUCGGAGUUCCGAUGCGCAAAAGAUCCCCUUCUGACUCUACUGAGUUUUCUGUAAAUGAAUGGUGAAAUGGAAAAUGGAUCGACAAGAAACACUGGUUGAAAUUCCACCUGUGAAUUCUGAACCCUCCAUUGAUGAAGCGGGUAUGAGGUUCUGUCGAGAGGUGGUGGUUUUGGAUCGUACAGUGAAGGUUAAUGGAUGUUGAAUUGCAGGUUUCAGUGAGGGUUUCCUUUCUAUUAUGCGGAAGGUGAGAGCUGAUAUUGAAGGGAUGGUUCUGUGAGAAUGGAUUGAAGGUUGAAGCUCAACCGAAUAGAGCUUCUGAUGUUGAAGCUCUAUCGAUUAUGACAAAUCAUAGCGUAUGGUGAAGGUUGAGAGAAUAGAGAAGAGUACGCAGUUCCAGCCGAAGAAUGGAAUCCCCUCCGAAUGAACUGUGAGGUUAUGAAUUUAUAGGAAAAGAUUGUAUGUUAGAAAAUCCAAAUGAAAUUCGGUUGAAAUGAAACUAUUAGUUAGAAAAGCAAUAAGUUGUUAGGAGUUUGUUAGUUUGAAAUGUUUGUUGAGUUCUAAUUCAGUUAGUUGGUUGGUUCAGUUAUGUUAGAAGCGUGAAAUCUUAGUUUUGCAGGUUGUACUGUUAGGAUAAAGUCAGUGUGAUAUUGGCCUUAUCAGGAAAAGUAAAAACAGGAAUAAAGCUUGAAUAGUCUUCAAAGUCAGUGUUGGAUGACUUAAAAUCUAAACCAUGUUGAAUUCAGACAUCAAGCAUCAUUGAGGUUCCAGAUACACACAAGACUCCUGAAGUUCGUCACUCUAUGCAAAUUCUGCAAGAGAAAUGUUUCGACACUUGCUAGUUGUGCUUGUGCUUUCUGAUUUGUAAGAUUCAGGUUCUGGUUGUCGUCGAUGUCAUUCUGUAUGCAGUUGUCUUAUGACUAUUGCAGGUAUUAUGUUGAUUGGAAGUCAUGUUGUUGUAACUUCCGUAGUUGCAAUUGUAGCUGCCUUGUUGAAUUGGUUGCAGGUUGGUUUGCACGGUUAGAAAUGGAUGCAAUACAGCCUGCUUUCCAUAAGCAGUUUGUGAGAAUGGGUCUUUAUAUAUUGUCCUUGUUCCAACUGCCUUUCUCCACAGACAUUGUAUUCAGGGUUUAACAUUCUCUUCUCAGCAUGCUGUCACGAAUGAAUUACCAAAGUAGGCCUUUGUUGCGCAACCUGGAAAGCAUAUUGAAGGUAUGCUUGAUGGAUAAGGUUUAGCAUUUGUUGUUGCUCGCUAGUUUGACCUCUGAGCUGAGCAUCUUGAUUGGAACCAUGUAGCUGAACUAAAUCGGUGAAUUUCCGAAACUGUUGGGGCAAUUGCAUAGGAUUGUUGUUGGAAAUUGUUGCUCCUAAAUACACCUCGAUGCCCUUCUUGAUAAGCUAAAAAUGCUUCAUUUCCUUCAGGUUUUCUUAGCAGCUAUUGUUUGGAUGGUAGCUUUACGGUUUCCUUGGUCUCGCUGAAGGACCAUUUCCUGGAACUGAUUUAGCAAUUGUAGCUUAUGCCUUUUUCCAUUUCAUUUCAUCAGGAUGUGCAAUAACUCCUUGGCUUAUGUAAAUCAUUAUUUGGGUAAUAGUUUAAGGUUUGUAUUACUUAUGCAAUGUUUGGAUGCACUAGCAUCCGGUUCAAUGCACUGUUCGGAGCU